UCUAUGUUUCAAUGCAGAGAAAUGUCAUUUAUGAAAGGGAUAUCUCACAUGCUUUUAGUACCAUUUGUAGAGAAGAAUUCUUUGGAAUGUAUAAGAGUCUUGGUGCAACAUAGUUGUUGAUAGGCUUUGAUGUAAAGCAUAUAUUUGCAUGCAUGUUCACAUUUCAAUUGGCGUGUUCAUGAUAUUGAAAUGCCUUGAUGCAAGACGAAUCUUGUUUGAUUCUUUAAAUGGGUAUUAUAAAUGAUCAUGAAUCUAUUGUUAAGGCAAUUAAAUAAGUUGAUAUUGUGAUAUGUGCUGCUGGUAGACUACUAAUUGAGGACCAGGUCAAGAUUAUUAAAGCAAUUAAAGAAGCUGGAAACAUUAAGGUCAGCAAAUAUGUCCCUUUUAAAUAAUAACUUGUUCAAAAUUUAACCCUAUCUUUCUUAGUUUCUGCAAAAGACAUGGUUUCUGUAGAGUAUUAAUCAAUAUAAUUAAGUAGUUAAAUUCAUAGUAUAAAAGUAGAAAUUUCUUGAAAAUGAAAGUUACAGGGUACUUGGAUAUUUAUAUCCAAUGCUAUCCUACACCAAGUGGUGCUAAACCUACACCCCUGUAACUAACUCUGUUAGCUGUAUAAUAG